AGGUGCUAAUACCGGAUAAGAAAGCAGAUCGCAUGAUCAGCUUUUAAAAGGCGGCGUAAGCUGUCGCUAUGGGAUGGCCCCGCGGUGCAUUAGCUAGUUGGUAAGGUAAAGGCUUACCAAGGCGAUGAUGCAUAGCCGAGUUGAGAGACUGAUCGGCCACAUUGGGACUGAGACACGGCCCAAACUCCUACGGGAGGCAGCAGUAGGGAAUCUUCCACAAUGGACGCAAGUCUGAUGGAGCAACGCCGCGUGAGUGAAGAAGGUUUUCGGAUCGUAAAGCUCUGUUGUUGGUGAAGAAGGAUAGAGGUAGUAACUGGCCUUUAUUUGACGGUAAUCAACCAGAAAGUCACGGCUAACUACGUGCCAGCAGCCGCGGUAAUACGUAGGUGGCAAGCGUUGUCCGGAUUUAUUGGGCGUAAAGCGAGCGCAGGCAGAAGAAUAAGUCUGAUGUGAAAGCCCUCGGCUUAACCGAGGAACUGCAUCGGAAACUGUUUUUCUUGAGUGCAGAAGAGGAGAGUGGAAACUCCAUGUGUAGCGGUUGGAAUGCGUAAGAUAUAUGGAAGAACACCCAGUGGGCGAAAGGCGGCUCCUCUGGUCUGCAACUGAACGCUGAAGCUCGAAAGCAUGGGUAACGAACA
rnacentral:rRNA from 1 species